UGGGCAGAUGCUGCGGCUCGCCGCGCGGCUCCAGCUGGGGCGCUGUGGUCCCGACGGUCACCCGAAUCGCAGGGAGUCGCCGCUGGAGAGGGGCUCGGCGCCCGGCGGGUACUGCAGCUGGGCUGUGUCUGAACUGCUGGAGCCUGCAGGAGCUGGUCAGCAGGGACCCGGGCCACUUCCUUAUCCUCCUUGAGCAGAUCCUGCAGAAGACCCGAGAGGUCCAGGAGAAGGGCACCUACGACCUGCUCACUCCGCUGGCCCUGCUCUUCUAUUCCACUGUUCUUUGUACACCACACUUCCCACCAGACUCGGAUCUCCUUCUGAAGGCAGCCAGCACCUACCACCGGUUCCUGACCUGGCCUGUUCCUUACUGCAGCAUCUGCCAGGAGCUGCUCACCUUCAUCGAUGCUGAACUCAAGGCCCCAGGGAUCUCCUACCAGAGGCUGGUGAGGGCUGAGCAGGGCCUGCCCAUCAGGAGUCAUCGCAGCUCCACCGUCACCGUGCUGCUGCUGAACCCAGUGGAAGUGCAGGCCGAGUUCCUCGCUGUAGCCAAUAAGCUGAGCACCCCCGGACACUCGCCUCACAGUGCC
rnacentral:sRNA from 1 species